AGAGUUUGAUCCUGGCUCAGAUUGAACGCUGGCGGCAGGCCUAACACAUGCAAGUCGAGCGGUAGCACAGAGAGCUUGCUCUCGGGUGACGAGCGGCGGACGGGUGAGUAAUGUCUGGGAAACUGCCUGAUGGAGGGGGAUAACUACUGGAAACGGUAGCUAAUACCGCAUAACGUCGCAAGACCAAAGUGGGGGACCUUCGGGCCUCAUGCCAUCAGAUGUGCCCAGAUGGGAUUAGCUAGUAGGUGGGGUAAUGGCUCACCUAGGCGACGAUCCCUAGCUGGUCUGAGAGGAUGACCAGCCACACUGGAACUGAGACACGGUCCAGACUCCUACGGGAGGCAGCAGUGGGGAAUAUUGCACAAUGGGCGCAAGCCUGAUGCAGCCAUGCCGCGUGUGUGAAGAAGGCCUUCGGGUUGUAAAGCACUUUCAGCGGGGAGGAAGGCGAUAAGGUUAAUAACCUUGUCGAUUGACGUUACCCGCAGAAGAAGCACCGGCUAACUCCGUGCCAGCAGCCGCGGUAAUACGGAGGGUGCAAGCGUUAAUCGGAAUUACUGGGCGUAAAGCGCACGCAGGCGGUCUGUCAAGUCGGAUGUGAAAUCCCCGGGCUUAACCUGGGAACUGCAUUCGAAACUGGCAGGCUAGAGUCUUGUAGAGGGGGGUAGAAUUCCAGGUGUAGCGGUGAAAUGCGUAGAGAUCUGGAGGAAUACCGGUGGCGAAGGCGGCCCCCUGGACAAAGACUGACGCUCAGGUGCGAAAGCGUGGGGAGCAAACAGGAUUAGAUACCCUGGUAGUCCACGCCGUAAACGAUGUCGAUUUGGAGGUUGUGCCCUUGAGGCGUGGCUUCCGGAGCUAACGCGUUAAAUCGACCGCCUGGGGAGUACGGCCGCAAGGUUAAAACUCAAAUGAAUUGACGGGGGCCCGCACAAGCGGUGGAGCAUGUGGUUUAAUUCGAUGCAACGCGAAGAACCUUACCUGGUCUUGACAUCCACAGAACUUUCCAGAGAUGGAUUGGUGCCUUCGGGAACUGUGAGACAGGUGCUGCAUGGCUGUCGUCAGCUCGUGUUGUGAAAUGUUGGGUUAAGUCCCGCAACGAGCGCAACCCUUAUCCUUUGUUGCCAGCGGUCCGGCCGGGAACUCAAAGGAGACUGCCAGUGAUAAACUGGAGGAAGGUGGGGAUGACGUCAAGUCAUCAUGGCCCUUACGACCAGGGCUACACACGUGCUACAAUGGCAUAUACAAAGAGAAGCGACCUCGCGAGAGCAAGCGGACCUCAUAAAGUAUGUCGUAGUCCGGAUUGGAGUCUGCAACUCGACUCCAUGAAGUCGGAAUCGCUAGUAAUCGUAGAUCAGAAUGCUACGGUGAAUACGUUCCCGGGCCUUGUACACACCGCCCGUCACACCAUGGGAGUGGGUUGCAA
rnacentral:rRNA from 1 species